rnacentral:rRNA from 1 species
AGUGAAUAGAUACCCGGGUAGUCCACGCCCUAAACGAUGAAUGCUAGUCGUCGGGGAGCUCGUCUCUUCGGUGAUGCACUUAACAGAUUAAGCAUUCCGCCUGGGGAGUACGGUCGCAAGAUUAAAACUCAAAGGAAUAGACGGGGACCCGCACAAGUGGUGGAGCAUGUGGUUUAAUUCGAAGAUACACGAAGAACCUUACCUGGCCUUGACAUGGUAGGAACCCUUAAGAGAUUAGGGGGUGCUAGCUUGCUAGAACCUACACACAGGUGCUGCACGGCUGUCGUCAGCUCGUGUCGUGAGAUGUUGGGUUAAGUCCCGCAACGAGCGCAACCCUCGUCGUUAGUUGCUAACAGUUCGGCUGAGCACUCUAACGAGACUGCCUUCGUAAGGAGGAGGAAGGUGAGGACGACGUCAAGUCAUCAUGGCCCUUACGGCCAGGGCUACACACGUGCUACAACGGGGCGUACAAAGAGCUGCAAUACCGCGAGGUGGAGCCAAUCUCUUAAAGCGUCUCUCAGUUCGGAUUGUUCU